rnacentral:rRNA from 1 species
AUGUAUGCUCGAAUGCACCGAUACGGAUACGGGUAUCAGUAUCGGGCCAAUACGGAUACGUAA